rnacentral:rRNA from 1 species
AGAACGAACGCUGGCGGCAGGCCUAACACAUGCAAGUCGAACGCUCGUAGCAAUACGGGAGUGGCGCACGGGUGAGUAACGCGUGGGCACCUGCCCGGUGGUUUGGGAUAACCGUGGGAAACUGCGGCUAAUACCGGAUACGCCCCUAGGGGGAAAGAUUUAUCGCCAUCGGAUGGGCCCGCGUAGGAUUAGCUAGUUGGUGAGGUAACGGCUCACCAAGGCUACGAUCCUUAGCUGGUCUGAGAGGAUGAUAAGCCACACUGGGACUGAGACACGGCCCAGACUCCUACGGGAGGCAGCAGUGGGGAAUAGUUGGACAAGUGGGGGCAACCCUGAUCCAGCCAUGCCGCGUGAGUGAAGAAGGCCUUGGGUUGUAAAGCUCUUUGGCGGGACGAGUGAUGACGGUACCGCAGAAUAACGCCCCGGCUAACUUCGU